CCUACGGGUGGCAGCAGUGAGGAAUAUUGGUCAAUGGGCGAGAGCCUGAACCAGCCAAGUCGCGUGAGGGACUAAGGUCCUAUGGAUCGUAAACCUCUUUUGCCGGGGAGCAAUGGUCCGCACGCGUCCGGUCCUGAGUGUACCCGUAGAACAAGCACUGGCUAACCCCGUGCCAGCCGCCGCGGUAAAACGGAGGAGUCAAGCGUUACCCGGAUUUGAUGGGGUUAAAGGGUGCGUAGGCGGGCAGUCUAGUCGGAGGUAAAAGUGUGGGGCUUAACCCCGGGCAGCCGUUGAAACUGGGGGUCUUGAGUGGGCGAGAAGUAUGCGGAAUGCGUGGUGUAGCGGUGAAAUGCAUAGAUAUCACGCAGAACCCCGAUUGCGAAGGCAGCAUACCGGCGCCCUACUGACGCUGAGGCACGAAAGCGUGGGUAUCGAACAGGAUUAGAUACCCGAGUAGUC
rnacentral:rRNA from 1 species